CCGUGAUGAAUGCAGAAACGAUCUUGCAGGCACUCCACAGCACCAAAGGCCCAACACGCACCACAGUGACCCUGCCAUUGUCAACCAAUACAUACUACCUUGAUCAUCUUCAAUUUUCCAGCAAGCACUCGUGGUGGUAACGACAUAAGGUAAUGUGCAUAGACUUACUUGAUCUGCUCAUGAAAAUCAGCGUUUUCCAAGGUAUUGGAGAAAAACAACGAUUAAAUGAAGUUGGUCAGUGCAAUUAAAACGGCAUAGAACCGGUUUAUGAUCAUGGAGUUAUCUAGUAGUUGAGCUUACCAAGUAUUUUCCCGAUCGUGCUGCAGCCAGACCAUUUAGAUCUGGCGUCGAACUCCUUUGGGAGAUCCUCCUUUUCUGAUGUAGAAUAAGUUUUGGUUGGAACACCAGCCAGUAAACCUGGAG
rnacentral:lncRNA from 1 species